rnacentral:rRNA from 1 species
AUUGAACGCUGGCGGCAUGCUUUACACAUGCAAGUCGAACGGCAGCGCGGGCUUCGGCCUGGCGGCGAGUGGCGAACGGGUGAGUAAUACAUCGGAACGUGCCCAGUAGUGGGGGAUAGCUCGGCGAAAGCCGGAUUAAUACCGCAUACGACCUGAGGGUGAAAGCGGGGGAUCUUCGGACCUCGCGCUAUUGGAGCGGUCGAUGGCAGAUUAGCUAGUUGGUGGGGUAAAGGCCUACCAAGGCGACGAUCUGUAGCUGGUCUGAGAGGACGACCAGCCACGCUGGGACUGAGACACGGCCCAGACUCCUACGGGAGGCAGCAGUGGGGAAUUUUGGACAAUGGGCGAAAGCCUGAUCCAGCAAUGCCGCGUGUGUGAUGAAGGCCUUCGGGUUGUAAAGCACUUUUGGCGGGAACGAAAAGGACUGUGCCAAUACCACGGUUCGAUGACGGUACCCGCAGAAUAAGCACCGGCUAACUACGUG